CUAUGAUUCUAUGAUUCCAUGAUUGUGCUUACUUCCCCUUUUUACAUUUGUUAUAUAUUGCAUUUUUUCUAUUGAUGCAUUCAAUCCACCACUCAACCAUAAUGGGCUUUUAGCUAAGGUUAUCUUCUUUUUUUUGAGACAUAAUGCUCUCCUGAUUGAUUUAAUGUAAGUUUCAGAAACCUCAUAUUUUACACCUAUAAAGGAAUUAUCUGUUUAUUGCAGAAAAAAUGAUCUCCGCUGAGAAGUUAGGAAUAAACUGUAGUGAAGAACUGGAAUUAGAUUUCAGAUCCCCUAGUUGAAUUGUUGGUAAUCUGAGUGCUUUGGAAAUUGAAGCUAUGAAGUUCGUCAACACACAAACCAACAAUUGUGUAUCUAAGGCGACAUCACAGUGGAACAGCUGAGCAUGAGCUAUUUUGGGAAAGCACUAUUUUCACUUUCAUUCUUACUCAAGGUCUGUAAUCAUUCACAUAUCUGAAUGUACUCACUCAGUCUUCAGACUUCACUAUGUCCUUUUGAGCUGGGGACAAUCUCAUCAGAGGUGAAAAUGGCAAUUGGCCGUAAUUUCACUGAAAUAUGGAAAAAACAUUUUACUCUUAUGUCAACGUCUUUAUACUCACUCAUUUUGGUAGUGCUUGAAAAGGUAAUGGAAUCUGAGUUUAAAUGCCCAGAAGAGCUGACACUGAGAUAUUUUUACUGCAUCUUCUAUUUCACUCUGCCAGCUGUGACUUUUUUUAUUAGGCAUAAUUUUCCAGCCAGUGUGUCUACAUCCUUCUUAUAGAGAAAACAAAUUCUACUACUUUGACAAAAAAUGCAAAAGUUGGUCUACAGACAAGUGCGAGUUUAGUAGCCACUAGCGCAGUUUUUUAAAGGCUCUUUUCCCUGCUCUGUUGUGGAUAGUGAUGCUUCUUCUGGAUGGAAGAUAUAUUGGCUGCUUCAGGAAGAACAUAAGAGAUCAUCUGAUUUCCCAGAUUUUGGGACUCGCUAUCAUGGUUGCUGUUGUCAGUGUCAGUUUGGCAUGCAUGUGCUGCAGCAAAAAGGGCUACAGAAAAAGAUAACAGUGGAUAAAGCGGAAAUCAAGAAGCUACUAGAGCAAAAAGCUUCUGACUAUAUUUUAAAACAGAAGGAAGAGGCUAUCUGUCAAUGCCUAAAUGAUGAAUACUUAGCUGAUCCGGAAACAAUAUUGGUAUCUAUUGACAAA